UACGUAGGGACCGAGCGUUGUCCGGAUUCAUUGGGCGUAAAGAGCUCGUAGGCGGCUGCUCAAGUCGAAUGUGAAACCUCGAGGCUCAACCUCGAGCCUGCAUUCGAUACUGGGCAGCUAGAGUCUGGUAGGGGGAUCUGGAAUUCCUGGUGUAGCGGUGGAAUGCGCAGAUAUCAGGAGGAACACCAAUGGUGAAGGCAGCACUCUGGGACGUGACUGACGCUGAGACGCGAAAGCGUGGGGAGCAAACAGG
rnacentral:rRNA from 1 species